UGGUUAAAAAGCUCGUAGUUGGAUCUCGGCGGACUGAGGGCGGUUUGCUUGCUAGUAUUACUGCCCUAUAGUCCGUAGUUUUGCCAGAGGUUUCGGGGUGCUCUUAAUCGAGUGUCCCGGGAUGCUGGCAGGUUUACUUUGAAAAAAUUAGAGUGCUCAAAGCAGGCUAUUACGCCUGAAUAUUCGUGCAUGGAAUAAUAGAAUAGGAAGUCGUUUCUAUUUUGUUGGUUUUCGGAAAUCGACUUAAUGAUUAAUAGGGACAGUCGGGGGCAUUUGUAUUCAAACGACAGAGGUGAAAUUCUUGGACCGUUUGAAGACAAACUACUGCGAAAGCAUUUGCCAAGAAUGUUUUCAUUAAUCAAGAACGAAAGUUAAAGGUUCGAAGGCGAUUAGAUACCGCCCUAGUUUUAACCAUAAACGAUGCCAGCUAGCGAUCUGCGGACGUUUUUUUUGUAGACUCCGCAGGAAGCUUCCGGGAAACCAAAGCAUUUGGGUUCCAGGGGAAGUAUGGUUGCAAAGCUGAAACUUAAAGGAAUUGACGGAAGGGCACCACCAGGAGUGGAGCCUGUGGCUUAAUUUGACCCAACACGGGAAAUCUCACCAGGCCCGGACACUGGAAGGAUUGACAGAUUGAUAGCUC
rnacentral:rRNA from 1 species